rnacentral:tRNA from 1 species
UCUAGCUCAGUUGGUAUAGUGUAGGACUCUUAACCUUAUGGUCAUAGGUUCAAGUCCCAUGA